rnacentral:RNase_P_RNA from 1 species
UCGGUCAAAGUUUGCGUUGAGGCUUAGACAAAAUUGUUACUCCUCACGGAGUAGCAAAAACAAUUAGACAGUGAAGCCUGAGAAGGUCUGAGUUGCCGUCAAUUCGAAAUGUUAGUGCACGAGAGUGCAGAGGUGGCUACCAGAAAAAUAAACAAGUAGAGGAAUACAGUAGAAGAAGGGAUUUGAUCGAAACAAAGUAGGUCAAAUCACCAGAUACUUUCCUCUCGCUUGUGUGGAAUGGCUACUUGGCAGAGCAUAUUAAGUACAAUACGCGAAUUUCUUAUCCAGAAAAAUCCAAUUCAGACUACUCUUGACCGA